rnacentral:tRNA from 1 species
GAGGGUAUAGCUCAGUGGUAGAGUGCAUGCCUAGCAUGUAUGAGGUCCUGGGUUCAAGCUCCAGUACCUCCA